CUGGCCGUGUUAGGCUUCGCUGGCGUAAAGUCCCCGGGAGCUUUGCCCCUCACGGAGAACGUUAGUUGACCCUGAUGGGGACCCGUAGGGUAAAGGUUUUGUUUUUGUUUUUUUUUACGGAAAAGGUUGUGGUUAGGCCCCUUGGAAAGUUGCGACAAAACUCGAGUUAGACAAGGAAGGUCGGAACUAAGUGGCCACAGCAACAAUGCACCAGCAAGCAGGGAGCGUGAUAGGAAGAGCUAAAGAGGAAUCGGGAAACCCUGGGGUCUCACCGCCGUCGCCCAGGCCGGAUGGAGUGCAGUGGCGCGAUCACGGCUCACUGCAGCCUCGACUUCCCAGGCUCAGAGAUGGGUUUCACCAUGUUUCCCAGCCUUGUCUCAAACUCCUGACCUCAAGUGAUCCGCCGUCUUGGGUCUUCGAAAGUGCUGGGACAGCAGGAGUGAGCCACCGCAUCUGGCCCGGAAAGUGUUUUGGAGCGUAGAAAAAUGCAAAUUAUAGGGCUGCCUUCAAGGAUCCCGAAGGACCCACAGAUUUGCCGCAUCAGGCUCCUAUGCACGCCGGUAAUUUGAUGUGUUGAGAUGCACUGCCCAGUGCGUUGUUUUUACUGGAGGAGCUUGUGUGCGGAGCUCCUUGCUAGUGUAUGUGUUGGGAUGGGAGAGAAGUGCGGGAGAACUAUGAGAUAAUGCCCCCUGAUCCUCAGGGUCUUAGGAGGUAUGGUCGGAGAGGCUAAGCUAAAGUAUGAAAGCCGUGUGUAGGCCCUUCUGUGUAGUGCAGAAAAGGUAGAGGUAUGUGAUUUGAAAGAGUAGGGAUGACAUGGAGGAUGCGACUCCUGGUUGGAUCUAUAAACUAAUGUCUUUGGAACGAAAGCACAUGCAACCUUUUGAAAAUGGAUGGGUGAUAAUGAAAGACCAUUCCAGAGAAGAAACACCAUGGUGCAAAGGCUCAAGAGGCAUACUGGAAGUACAAUGAAGAGAGCAAUCUAACUGAAAUGGGAAAAAAAGAAACAAAGAGUAAAAAGUAAGAUUUGAUGAGAAAGAUGGAAUCGAUUUUUAAAUUUUUUUAUCUACACAACAAAAUUUAUUAUCUUAACCAUUUUUGAGUGAAUAAUUCGUUAGUAUUAAGUAUAUUUACCUCGUGCGGCCAGUCUCCAGAAUUCUUUUCAUCUUGCAAAACAAACCCCGAACCCAUUAAACAAUUUCUCAUUCGCCAUUUUCCAGCUAGCCUUGGUAACCUCCAUUCUAGUUCUGUCUCUGUGAAUUUGACUGUGUACCCCGUGUAAGUGGUAUCAUACAGUAUUUGUAUUUUUGUGACUGGCAUAUUUCACAUAGCAUAAUCUCCUUGUGGUUUAUCCAUCUUGUAGCAUGUGUCAGAAUUUCCUUCCCUUUUAAGACUAAAUAAUAUUCCAUUGUGUGU
rnacentral:lncRNA from 1 species